rnacentral:rRNA from 1 species
UACGUAGGUGGCAAGCGUUGUCCGGAUUUACUGGGCGUAAAGGGAGCGUAGGCGGAUACUUAAGUGGGAUGUGAAAUACCUGGGCUUAACUUGGGUGCUGCAUUCCAAACUGGGUGUCUAGAGUGUUGGAGAGGAAAGUGGAAUUCCUAGUGUAGCGGUGAAAUGCGUAGAGAUUAGGAAGAACACCAGUGGCGAAGGCGACUUUCUGGACAAUAACUGACGCUGAGGCUCGAAAGCGUGGGGAGCAAACAGGAUUAGAUACCCUGGUAGUCCACGCCGUAAACGAUGGGUACUAGGUGUAGGAGGGAUCGACUCCUCCUGUGCCGCAGUUAACACAAUAAGUACCCCGCCUGGGGAGUACGGUCGCAAGAUUAAA